rnacentral:lncRNA from 1 species
AGUGUAUACAAAACACUUACACUCACUUAAACAGAACUCUUUUUGUAGAGUAGAUAUGAGUAAACAAGUACGCUCAAGAACACAACAAUAAAUUCAAGAAAUGGCUUCUCAAAAGCAAUUAAUAAUAUGAAAUGAAUGAAGAAUGUUUGGAAGCUUGUAUAUGAUAUUUGCUCAGAUUGUUGUGUAUCAAAUGAGAGUUUUUGGGGUGUAUUUAUAGCCGCAAAAACUCUUGUAUCCGUUGCUAAAUGAUUGAACAAUUUGUCAAAAAUCUGCAGCGAUAAUCGAUUAUCGUAGGACGAUAAUCGAUUAACCUUUCAAAAAUAUAAACGUUGAAAGGCAACGGAUACUAAGAUAAUCGAUUAACCUAUGUCAGAUAAUCGAUUAUUUCAAUGAUAAUCGAUUAUCGCACUUUAGAUAAUCGAUUAACUUAAUUGAAAAACUAGACGUUGAGAAAUAACGGAUAAACGAUAAUCGAUUAUUGUUUGUAAGAUAAUCGAUUAUCUCACCUUGCGUAAAAUCGUCCAGUUUAAUGAAAUAUUAGAUAAUCGAUUAUCUCCUCACGAUAAUCGAUUAACUCAGUGGAAAAAAGAAAGACACUUUUAAUAACCUUUUUGGUUCAAUUUAAAACAUGAAAAUCAAUUUAUUCCAAGAGUAUAAAGAUUAUUUAUGAUAUGCAUAUGUUUUAUGAAAAUAAUUUUUGGAGAGAAGCCAAGACUUAAAAUUAGAGUAGGAUCAAGAUCACAAAUAUAAAUAAGACUCAAAAUAAAGGUCUUCAUUUACACUUUAAAACAAGAAAAUCAAUUUAUUCCAAGAGUAUAAAAAUUAUUUUUGAUAUGCAUAUGUUUUAUGAAAAUAAUUUUUGGAGAGAAGCCAAGACUUAAAAUUAGAGUAGGAUCAAGAUCACAAAUAUAAAUAAGACUCAAAAUAAAGGUCUCCAUUUAUUUUCAUUGCUUCAUUGCUUCUCUUGAUCUUUUCUUGAACUUCUUGUUUUUGUACUCCAACUUUGUUCCGUUAAUUGAUUGCAUAUCAUCUCUACAAAACAAAUAUACUUUAGUAUAAACAAAAGUAUAUCUCAAUAAUAACUUACGAUUAUUUGGCAUGUAUAAUAUUUUCCAUCUUCAUCGGUUUGUCAUUUAUCAAAACCUAUACAUAUGAACACGUAUAAACAAAAGUAUAUCUCAAUAAUAACUUACGAUUAUUUGGCAUGUAUAAUAUUUUCCAUCUUCAUCGGUUUGUCAUUUAUCAAAACCUAUGCAUAUGAACACAUUAGUUUUAACAACAUAAUAAAUGUGUUCUAUCAAG